UUCAUUUUUCUUUUCUGGUGUUUAACUUUGUAUAUGUAUCUUUAUAUGUUCAUCGACAACACUUUUAUUUUUUUUUUCGAAAGUGUAGACAAUUAUAUGACGUUAAGUAACUUACUACUAUGUAAAGUGAGAUGUUUAUGAUUGUCUGUAUUAUUUAAUUUGACUUGUAAUUAAGUACUUUGUAUCUAGUUGGCAUUAUACAAUUUGUAUAACUUCUCGAAUGGAUGUGGAGUCCACAGAAAAUCCAGUAAGUCAAUCUAUUGUUAUGUUAUAACUGAUAUUUGAACACAUAAUUUAUCUAUUGAAAUUAUAUACAUUCAU